UACGGAGGGUGCAAGCGUUGGUCCGGAAUCACUGGGCGUAAAGGGCGCGUAGGCGGCUCAUGAAGGCUGUGGUGAAAGUCCGGGGCUCAACCUCGGAUCGGCCGGUGGCGACUCGUGGGCUGGAGCACUGUAGAGGCGGGUGGAAUUCCGGGUGUAGCGGUGGAAUGCGUAGAGAUCCGGAAGAACACCGAUGGCGAAGGCAAUCCCCUGGGACCUGUACUGA
rnacentral:rRNA from 1 species